rnacentral:rRNA from 1 species
GACGAACGCUGGCGGCGUGCUUAACACAUGCAAGUCGAACGGUAAGGCCCUUCGGGGUACACGAGUGGCGAACGGGUGAGUAACACGUGGGUGAUCUGCCCUGCACUUCGGGAUAAGCCUGGGAAACUGGGUCUAAUACCGGAUAGGACUCCUGGCUUCAGGGUUGGGGGUGGAAAGCUUUUGCGGUGUGGGAUGGGCCCGCGGCCUAUCAGCUUGUUGGUGGGGUAAUGGCCUACCAAGGCGACGACGGGUAGCCGGCCUGAGAGGGUGACCGGGCACACUGGGACUGAGACACGGGCCAGCCUCCUACGGGAGGCAGCAGUGGGGAAUAUUGCACAAUGGGCGCAAGCCUGAUGCAGCAACGCCGCGUGAGGGAUGACGGCCUUCGGGUUGUAAACCUCUUUUAGUAGGGAGGAAGCGAAAGUGACGGUACCUGCAGAAAAAGCACCGGCUAACUACGUGCCAGCAGCCGCCGUAA